CCGGUGGGAGGCGCUGUAUUUAAUUGUUGGAGUCAAUGAUCUCGAGGUCCAACCGUGACAACAUCUAGAUACCUGCAGCAGCCGUCCUACUGACUUAAACAUUAAUAGCCGACAAAUUGAACUGUGUCAUCUUGGAAGCGUGUGUCAACAGAACUCUAUCCAACCACCAGCCGGUGACAUUGCCAGAAUUAAAACUGCAUUGGGCCAUUCACAGGAACCUCCUUAUUUAUGGACCACCGGUGGGAGGCGCUGUAUUUAAUUGUUGGAGUCAAUGAUCUCGAGGUCCAACCGUGACAACAUCUAGAUACCUGCAGCAGCCGUCCUACUGACUUAAACAUUAAUAGCCGACAAAUUGAACUGUGUCAUCUUGGAAGCGUGUGUCAACAGAACUCUAUCCAACCACCAGCCGGUGACAUUGCCAGAAUUAAAACUGCAUUGGGCCAUUCACAGGAACCUCCUUAUUUAUGGACCACCGGUGGGAGGCGCUGUAUUUAAUUGUUGGAGUCAAUGAUCUCGAGGUCCAACCGUGACAACAUCUAGAUACCUGCAGCAGCCGUCCUACUGACUUAAACAUUAAUAGCCGACAAAUUGAACUGUGUCAUCUUGGAAGCGUGUGUCAACAGAACUCUAUCCAACCACCAGCCGGUGACAUUGCCAGAAUUAAAACUGCAUUGGGCCAUUCACAGGAACCUCCUUAUUUAUGGACCACCGGUGGGAGGCGCUGUAUUUAAUUGUUGGAGUCAAUGAUCUCGAGGUCCAACCGUGACAACAUCUAGAUACCUGCAGCAGCCGUCCUACUGACUUAAACAUUAA